rnacentral:lncRNA from 1 species
AUGUUCACGCGCUCCCCGUGGAGCGAAGCCCUGAGCCUCGCGCUGCCGCCUGCGCCCACGAGUCUCCAGCAGAGCCCAGAUCCGGAGCCUCCCAGGCCGCUCACUGCGGGGAGGGGGGGGGGGGUCACAACCCUCCCUGGCGCCACUGCCACUCACCCCAUCCCUGUUUCUGAACCACUGGGUGCUCAGGGAACACGUGGGGGGCUGUGGGGCGAGGGGCUGGGCCAGGCCGGGGGGACAGUGGCCUCGGGGCGCAGGCCCGUCACCGAGUCCCCAGCAGUCCCCACCGUCGCGUGUGUCCCCACCUCCACCGCCGGCCAAGCGGGCCUCGACUUCCCCCCGAGCCCCGGCAGGUCCCCCGGCCGGGCGGGCCUCGACUUCCCCCCGAGCCCCAGCAGGUGCAGAGCGAGCCUCGACUUCCCCCGAGCCCCGGCAGGUCCCCCGGCCGGGCGGGCCUCGACUUCCCUCGAGCCCCGGCAGGUGCAGAGCGAGACUCGACUUCCCCCGAGCCCCCGCGGGUCCCCCGGCCGGGCGGGCCUCGACUUCCCCCUGAGCCCUAGCAGGUGCAGAGCGAGACUCGACUUCCCCCAGCCCCGGCAGGUCCCCCGGCCGCGCGGGCCUCGACUUCCCUCGAGCCCCGGCAGGUGCACCGGCCGGGCGGGCCUCGACUUCCCCCCGAGCCCCAGCAGGUGCAGAGCGAGCCUCGACUUCUCCCGAGCCCCGGCAGGUCCCCCGGCCGGGCGGGCCUCGACUUCCCCCCUGAGCCCCAGCAGGUGCAGAGCGAGCCUCGACUUCCCCCAGAGCCCCGGCAGGUGCCCCCGGCCAGGCGGGCCUCGACUUCCCCCCGAGCCCCAGCAGGUGCCGCGCGGGCCUCGACUUCCCCCAGCCCCGGCAGGUCCCCCGGCCGCGCGGGCCUCGCCUCCCGGGGCGCGGCCCCGCCCUCCCUGGGGACCCGCGGAGGAGCGGCGGCGCCCGGUGAUUGGCGGCCGCCCGCGCCGCCCGCUGCCAUUGGCUGCCCGCGCCUCUUUGUUCCCGGGCCCCGCGGCGGAAGUUGGACGGCGGCGGCGGGCGGCGCGGGCGGCGGCGCUGGAGUCCUGGCUGGGUCCCCGCGGUCCUCCCCGCUGCUCCUCCCCGCUCCCGGGCCUCCCGGCCUCCCGGCCUCCCCGGUCCCCGCGGCGCAGCGGACGGCGGGCGAGCUCGGGCGCGAGGUCCCGGCCCCGCGGACAUGGAGCUGGAGGCCAAAGUGAAGAAGGUAGGCGGGGGCGGGGGCGGGGGGGGGCCGGGGGGGCACCUGCGCGGGGCGGGGCGGGGCGGGGGCGCGAGGCGGCGGGUCUCGGGCCGCGGCCCCGACGGUUGGGUGCGGGGAGGGCGGGUCGGGCACCGGGCGCGCCUCGCAGCCUCCGGGAGCCUCCCCCGCCCCCCGCGCCCCGAGGUCGGGCCCUCCCGCUGCGCUUCCCCGCUCCCGCAGCCCGACAAGUGACUGUGCGCUCCCUUUCCGUUCCCUUUUCUCCCUUGGUCCCCCGUGCACCGCCCCCCUCGUCGUGCCUCCUCGCUCCUGGAGUUGGGCCGCCGGCCCCGCAGGCGACUGUCACCGUGACCCCGGUCACCCCCCCUCCCAUCCCGCGGCCUUCGGGACUCGCAGCCCUCCCUGAGCCCUCGCAGCCCUCCCUGAGCUCCCGCAGCCCUACCUGA